UUCUGGCUCAGGAUGAACGCUAGCUACAGGCUUAACACAUGCAAGUCGCGGGCAGCAUGUUGGUGCUGCAACCGAUGAUGGCGACCGGCGCACGGGUGAGUAACGCGUAUCCAACCUGGCCCAUAGUAGGGUACAGCCCGGCGAAAGUCGGAUUAAUGCCCUAUGUUCUUCGCAGAUGGCAUCUGAUGUGAAGCAAAGGUAUUCCGCUAUGGGAUGGGGAUGCGUCUGAUUAGCUUGCCGGCGGGGUAACGGCCCACCGGGGCGACGAUCAGUAGGGUUCUGAGAGGAAGGUCCCCCACACUGGUACUGAGACACGGACCAGACUCCUACGGGAGGCAGCAGUGAGGAAUAUUGGUCAAUGGGCGGGAGCCUGAACCAGCCAAGUAGCGUGCCAGGAUGACCGGCCCUACGGGUUGUAAACUGUCUUUUAUGCGGGGAUAAAGUUCGCCAUGCGUGGUGUUUUGCAUGUACCGCAUGAAUAAGGACCGGCUAAUUCCGUGCCAGCCGCCGC
rnacentral:rRNA from 1 species